GUGAUCCAGUAAUCCAACCCCGACGCUUCCCAUCCAACCCUUCCAACGCCGCCGCGGCUCCGAUCCCUUUCUCCCUCCCUCCCACUCACCACCACCACCUCCGGCGACCCCCAAUCCGGCGACGGCGACGGCGACGGCGAAUCCCGUGCCCGCGUUCUUGCUCCUUCAGAUGCCGCGGCUCGUCUCCUCUCCUCUCCUGUCGCCGCGGAGGAGCCACCGUGGUCGGGCAGCGGAGCACCGCCGCCGGCUGGAUUCCCUCCUCUUCUCCACAAUCAACCACCGCCGGCUGGAGCCCCGUCUCUUCUCCUCUCAUCUCCGCCUCUCCGGUCGCUGUGGAGGAACGCAGUGUCCAACCUCCUUGCCUCCUCGACGGCGGCCGAAACCCUAGCUGUCCCCUCUCUUCCGCCCACGGCCAUGGCCAUGGCGGGAGGUGCAGCAGGUAGGUACAGCGGCCAGAGGAGAGGAGAUGAGAGGAGAAGAGGUGUAGUAGCAGGCCAAGAUCACCGUGUAGUUCCCGAGCUUCCAGGGAAGGGACGGUGAUGGUGCCCCUGCAGCAGCAGGGAAAAAGUGCGACGACGAUGCGAGCUCGGGCGGGUUGGGUGGCAAGCUGAGCUUCAAGUGGGAGGCCGGCAGCUGCUCGUCAACGUCGUCGGUGGUGUACUUGCCGCUGUCGUUCGUGUCAGCGCCGGCUAGGAGGAUGGAGCAGCAGGCCAAGAUCCAUGAUUAUAUCAUUGAGAAGCUCCAGGACGACAAGAGGGUCAGCUGGUAGCUCUGCUUCCUCGUCUACAAGCACUCGAGCACCGCCAUGGCUGGGCUGCUGAUGCAGGCCGUUGGGUACAAAUUCGAUUACGAUGAUUUCCACAGCUUUGUUGAUGGUCUGUUGGCUUACAAAAAGUUAACCCCGACGCCUCCCGCGUGGCGCCUCCAGUGGCCACUUCUUCAUUUCCGGCAUACAUAAGCCCACUUGAUCCAUCUCCUCUUUCUCUAACGCUGUAUGUGCCCACGGGUUGAGUUAUGCGACCGUGGGAGUUUCACACUGCACACUGAUUAGUGCAAUUGAGCACGUUUAUUUAUUUGUAUGUAAAAAUAUAAAAUCCUUCUAACACUCGCUGGCCAUUGGUGAGCAGCAGGCCAUCUUCACCUCCGACCCAGCACCAACAUGCAGUUUCUGAGCUUCCAGGGAAGGGGCGGUGCUAGUGCCCUGCAGCUGUAGCAUCAUAGUGUGACGAUGGCAUGAGCUCUGGCGGGUUCGGCGGGAAGCUGAGCUUCAAGUGGGAGGCGGGCGGCUGCUCGUUGGCAUUGUCUUUGAUGGUCGGUGGUGUACUCGCCGCUGUCGUUCUUGUCGGCACUACCCAGGAGGACAAAUUUGCACACACCGUCGAGGGGUAACGGGAACUACAGCUACAGCAAUUGGUACACAUCGCCGUUGUCGUUGGCGAGCCAGAAGAUCUCGACGUCAGAGGCGUGCCGGAUGGUGCAAUGAAUUACCACUGACUCGACUCAGUUCCUGAGCUUCGAGGGAACGGGCGGUGGUGGUGCCCCUGCAGCAGCCGAAACAAAGUGCAACGACGGCGCGAGCUCGGGCAGGUCGGGUGGCAAGAUGAGCUUCAAGUGGGUUGUUGGCAGCUGCUCGUCGGCGUCUAUGGUGUACCUGUUGCUGUCGUUCGCGUCAGCCCCGGCCGGGAGAACGGAGCAGCAGACGCCGUCUCGGUGGAACGGGAACUACAACCACUGCAAUGGGUGCUUGUCCUGGCUAUCGUCGGUGAGCCAGAAGAGCUCGUCUGCAUUGAAGUCAAUGUUGGAUGCCGCAGUGGACACCACCUAUCAAACUUCGCGGCGUUGAGCUGUGAGUAAAAAACAAUAUUGGUAAAGAUGGACGAGGAACAGAGUUCAGUAGUGGACUCAUGGCUGGGUGAGAUAAUUGGGGAAUUAUAAGGCAAUACGCGACACCGCUUUAUCUCGAUGAAGAAGCUGCCAUGAAAGCUAUGCCUUCUCAUAACACGUGCAACAAAAGCCAAAGGGUUGCGCCUUUUAUAUGUCUCUCCCCAAAUAGGGGAGAAGGGUCCAGCCUGGAAGGGCGACCAAGGGGUCCUGCCUGAGCUCGACGAGUCCAGCCUGGCCAUGACGACACACAACUCCCAGCAAGCUCCCGGCAUCAUGGGCGAGGACGAUGACCGGGACCCCGAGCCCAAGCCGACAAGAACGAUGAGGACAUCGUCGAGUCAGGGAACCCUGACCUCGACUCCCCACACAAGUUCUUGGCUCAACCCCUCUCAACUAUGAGACGGUGACGAUGGCAGGAGGGCACCAGAUCUGGCCAGGAGUAGGGCCUUGUCCUGCUGAAGGAGGAGUGACGCACCUAGCUGCCGGCCUUGUCCUCCUCGAGGAGGAGGGGGCACACCAAGGGGUCUUCUCCUUUGCUUCCAAGGCAACCAAGGGGUCCUGCCCGAGCUCGACAAGCCCAGCCUGGCCUUGACGACGCACCACUCCCAGCAGAUCGCGCAUGGCGCUGAUGAGAUGGCGAUGAUGGAAGGAGGUCAUCUUGCAGCCACUGGCCUUGUUCUCCUCAGGAUGGGCGCACAUAGUCACCAAGGGCUCUUCUCCUCUUCUUCCAAGGCGGGCGAUGAAGGGGCCUGAGCUUUACUAGUCCAGCCAGGUCACGCGAUGGGCGCCGGAGAUGAGGUUGAGAGCGAUUCCGGCGGCGACCGCGCGGGGUCAGGCUAGGCCUUCUUCGAGGAGACGGCUCAAAACCUGCUAUGCCUUCUCAUAACACGAGGACAAAAGCCAAAGGGUCGCGCCUUUGAUAUGUCUCUCACCCCAAAGGGGAGAAGGGUCCAGCCUGGCCACGACGACGCACCGCUCCCAGCAGGUGCCCGACUCUAUGGACGACGGGGAUGAACGGGACCCCAAGCCCAAGCUGACGAGCACGACGAGGACAUCGCCAAGUCAGGGGACCCUGACCUUGACUCCCCACACAAGACCGCCCAUGGCGCAGACAUGACGACGACGAGGGUAGGAGGGCGCCAUAUCCGGCCGGGAAUAUGGCCUUGUCCUGCUCGAGGAAGAGGAGGGAUGCACCUAGCUGGGGGCCCUGUCCUCCUCGUGGAGGAGGGGCACACCAAGGGAUCUGCUCCUCUGCUUCCAAGGCAACCAAGGGGUCCUGCCCAAGCUCGACGAGUCCAUCCUGGCUACGACACUGCACCGCUCCCAGAAGAUCACCCAUGGCAUGGAUGCGACGGCGAUGACGGUAGGAGGGCACCUUGCAGCUGCCAGCCUUGCCCUCAUGAGGAGGAGGAUGGACGCACAUAGCCACCAAUGGUUGUGCUCCUCAUCUUCCAAGGUGAGUGAUCAAGGGGACCGAGCUAGACGAGUCCAGCUCGGCCACCACGACGCAACGCUCCCAGCAGGCAAAAAAUUGGAGACUGAACUCUGAAUGAAAAAAAGAGGAGUUACCUAUAUUAUCAUGGUACAUCAUAGUGGAAUGGCAAGCCACAGUCAAUCAUAUCAAUAACGGAAAAGUACACCCACAUUCUGACCAAAGAGAAGUCGUACAUGACUUGUGGCUGAACUAUAAAGAGCUAGCUGUGAGAUGUGACUGGAUUUGACAUUAAUUCAGCCUUGAGGCAACUGCCAUUGGAUGACCAUGUCAGCAGACAGUUCAUUCACCGAUGUGAUUGUACAUAGACAGUCUAAAUUUUUGGUGUGCAAGUGCAUCAUUACAGCGAGAAAAUGAGAGCCAGCAAGCAAUGCCUGCCUUAAACUAGUCAGUAAACUCACAAACCUGUUGGUGAGCUUGUCCAGCCGCACGUCGAUGUAUCCUUGGGCGACACCUUGAAGGCGAACAUAGCAAUGUCAGCGAAGGGGUAUGGCAUCCUUGCCUGGGGCGUCAUGCUAUUGACAAUAGCAUGGCGCCCUGGGCCGUGGCUGUUAGCCCAGAACUACUCGCUAGCACUCGAGUACACUGAUAGACGACCGGCGGAUGAGCACACACACGUACUACUCACACACUUACUAGUGUAUCUCACACACACGUAGUAGCAGCAGUAGUAGUAGUACACAGCACUUGAGGCUUGGAGCACACACGGUGGUACUAGAAGGAGGAAAAUGCCUUGUA